rnacentral:rRNA from 1 species
AGUGAACGCUGGCGGUAGGCCUAACACAUGCAAGUCGAACGGCAGCACAGUAAGAGCUUGCUCUUACGGGUGGCGAGUGGCGGACGGGUGAGGAAUACAUCGGAAUCUACUUUUUCGUGGGGGAUAACGUAGGGAAACUUACGCUAAUACCGCAUACGACCUACGGGUGAAAGCAGGGGAUCUUCGGACCUUGCGCGAUUGAAUGAGCCGAUGUCGGAUUAGCUAGUUGGCGGGGUAAAGGCCCACCAAGGCGACGAUCCGUAGCUGGUCUGAGAGGAUGAUCAGCCACCCUGGAGCUGAGACACGGUCCAGACUCCUACGGGAGGAAGCAGUGGGGAAUAUUGGACAAUGGGCGCAAGCCUGAUCCAGCCAUACCGCGUGGGUGAAGAAGGCCUUCGGGUUGUAAAGCCCUUUUGUUGGGAAAGAAAAGCAGCAGGUUAAUACCCCGCUGUUCUGACGGUACCCAAAGAAUAAGCACCGGCUAACUUCGUG